GGGGCUGUGGUUCAGUGGCAGAGCAUCUGCCGUGCGUGCCAAAAGUCUCAGGUCCAAUCCCUGGCAUCUCCA
rnacentral:tRNA from 1 species